rnacentral:rRNA from 1 species
UACCCGCAGCACAAGUGGUGGUCAUUAUUAUUGGGCCUAAAGCGUCCGUAGCUGGCUUGUUAGAUGCCUGGGUAAAUCGAUGCGCUCAACGCAUCGAACUCCGGGUAGACCGGCAAGCUUGGGACCGGGAGAGGCGUGAGCUACUCGAGGGGUAGGGGUAAAAUCCUGAAUCCUUCGGGGAGGACCAGUGGCGAAGGCGUCACGCUAGAACGGCUCCGACAGUGAGGGACGAAGCCCUGGGGCGCAAACCGG